UUGACCUUCCACAUAGCCCUAUCAAAGACAUUGUAGAGAAACUUGCUUUAUUUUCUCUCUGAGAUCAGGUGUACAAAUCAUUAUGAUUUAACUAAUAUUUUGGGGGAAGGAAAAGUUGAGAAAAUACCUUUUUUCUUCAGCUCCACAGAACUGUGCGGCUGCACUUUUGUCCUCACUGCCUAGAACCCUGCCUCUGAGGAAAAUCAAAUCAGAGAUGCUAAGGAUUAUGAAACUGGAAGUGUCCUCCAUGCUUUGCCUAGGAGCACCUACCACAGGGGAGACUCCUGCAGCUCUUGGUUUGUGAAGAUCAGACAGGAGGUAAUGUGCAUUUAAUUGUGACAUCCACACAAACACACAGUUCAUUGCACAACCUCUGAAGAGCAAACUAAAAUUAAUCAUAUCUCCUUCUGGCACCAGGCUGGCUG
rnacentral:lncRNA from 1 species